GCCUUUUUUUUUUAAAAAAUAGUUUGUUUUUUGUUUUUUUUAAAAGGAGACUAAACAAGAGCUAUAGAGCUCACAUUCUGCUGAGAAGAAGUUAACGUGGCAUGAACUCCACAUUACAGACUCAGAACACGCAUGACUUGGAAGUGGAAAAUGUUCUUGGCGGUAGUCCAUUUGAUUUGGUUGAGGCAUAUAUGCUUCAGGAAGUGGAGUUUAUGCCAUAUCACUCUUCAACAUUUUGUGCUCCCAUAAUUCCUGAAGUCCCAUGUAGCACUUUGACAAAUUAACAAUAGUUUUGAGCAAAAGCUAAUGGAGGACACAAUUGUAAAAUCCAUUGAAUUUUAUGACCUAAAUUAUAAAUUAAAAGAACUAAACACAACUCUAAAAAUGCCAAAGUUCCUUUUCUUUUUUGGGUCUUUAACCUUAUAUUAAAUGAAUCAAGAAAUAUAAAUCUGAAAAUAGAUAUGGAAGACUUGACCCUUCCUCAAUUUAUACACUUACGUAUAUUUUUAACUGUGAUAUUUAAAUUUUAGCUGGAAAGAAGGAAUUAUGAUUCCAAACUGCUUUUAUGAUAUUGGAUUCUUCUUUUAAGUCCUGUGAGUAGGCUGCUUCAUCCAAAAGAUUGUGAGAUUUAGGAAAUGCCUAGCUAAUAUUUACCCUUUCUGAGACUAGCAUUGGGACAUAUGAAAAGAUGAUAUGGGAAUGGUAAUUAUUCUUAUUGAUUAUUCUUAUUGAUAGACAAAAUCAUUAUCGUUUAUUUAUUUUUCCUCUAAGUUAAUACAAUGAGAAUGGACUAGGUGAGGUCCACUGUUUGUUUUGCUAUGACCCCCCGUUCUUCAUCUCCUCAAGAAAAUUAUGAUGAUUGACUUGACAAUUUGCUGUUUCUUUUUCUACCCUUUAUAAUUCUUUCGUUUCAGGU
rnacentral:misc_RNA from 1 species